rnacentral:tRNA from 1 species
GGGCACAUGGUGUAGUUGGUUAUCACGCUCGCUUAGCACUAAAAAACGAAUAGUCUGCGAGAGGUGUUGGGUUCAAUUCCCAAUGUGUCCA